GCGCACCAGUCGCGAAACCUCCGCAAUACACGAAAGUGUGACGGGCCAUCCCGAGUGCCGUCCGCUGAGGACGGCUUUCCCCAGUGUACAUAGCUGGGGAAUAAGGAGAGGGCAAGCCUGGUGUCAGCCGCCGCGGUAAUACCAGCUCUCCGAGUGGUGGGGACGCUUAUUGGGCCUAAAGCAUCCGUAGCCGGCUAGGCAAGUCCUCCGUUAAAUCCAACGAUUCAAUCGUUGGGCUGCGGGGGAUACUGUCCAGCUUGGGGGCGGGAGAGGCCGACGGUAUUCCCGGGGUAGGGGUGAAAUCCUAUAAUCCCGGGAGGACCACCAGUGGCGAAGGCUGUCGGCUAGAACGCGCCCGACGGUGAGGGAUGAAAGCUGGGGGAGCGAACCGGAUUAGAUA
rnacentral:rRNA from 1 species